rnacentral:rRNA from 1 species
AGAUUGAACGCUGGCGGCAGGCCUAACACAUGCAAGUCGAGCGGCAGCACGGGUACUUGUACCUGGUGGCGAGCGGCGGACGGGUGAGUAAUGCCUAGGAAUCUGCCUGGUAGUGGGGGAUAACGCUCGGAAACGGACGCUAAUACCGCAUACGUCCUACGGGAGAAAGCAGGGGACCUUCGGGCCUUGCGCUAUCAGAUGAGCCUAGGUCGGAUUAGCUAGUUGGUGGGGUAAUGGCUCACCAAGGCGACGAUCCGUAACUGGUCUGAGAGGAUGAUCAGUCACACUGGAACUGAGACACGGUCCAGACUCCUACGGGAGCAGCAGUGGGAAUA